rnacentral:rRNA from 2 species
GGUCUGAGAGGAUGACCAGCCACACUGGAACUGAGACACGGUCCAGACUCCUACGGGAGGCAGCAGUGGGGAAUAUUGCACAAUGGGCGCAAGCCUGAUGCAGCCAUGCCGCGUGUAUGAAGAAGGCCUUCGGGUUGUAAAGUACUUUCAGCGAGGAGGAAGGUGUUGUGGUUAAUAACCACAGCAAUUGACGUUACUCGCAGAAGAAGCACCGGCUAACUCCGUGCCAGCAGCCGCGGUAAUACGGAGGGUGCAAGCGUUAAUCGGAAUUACUGGGCGUAAAGCGCACGCAGGCGGUUUGUUAAGUCAGAUGUGAAAUCCCCGGGCUCAACCUGGGAACUGCAUUUGAAACUG